AUGCAUAGUCAUGGGAUGUUGUUACUUAAUGACAUCACAUUCCAGGAAGUGACAUCACUUUGGAGGGAAAACAACAGCACCAACAUCACAUGCGCCGCUAACUGCACCAUAUUGCGGAGAGGCAGGCAGCCCAUCACGGACGUAACUUUGAUUGACAAUCACCUCAGCUGUGGGGCCGUCCCUGGGGCUCGUUUGACAUGCACACUUUUUACGGCCCCUAAGAAUGAUUCUAGCAGACGAGGCUUUGUGCUGGAUGGAAUCUACCCACCUCCAGUAAGUCCAUGUAUCUUCUUUUAUUGGAGUAUGAAGGAAAAUGACAAUGAAAUUUUAUUCCGGCAGAAUUUCAGACGGACAGUUCGAGCUCCCGCGGGGUGGGCGAAAUGCGGCCCAUAUGCGAGCGGCAUGGGCAAACCAAUCCGGAAAAACGGCAAAGGACGAAUCAAAGGAGGAGGGAGCUGUUCCAUUUCUCUGUUUCUUCUGCCAUUGGGAGCUGUUACUCUUGCAUCGUAAGCUGCCUGGCUCAGGGCUCGCCCCCAGCUGGACGCUCUAGACUGGCCCUCUGGGACACGGAAGGACUCUCGGUUCGAAUCCGUAUCGAUCCAUGA
ensembl:lncRNA